AGUGAACGCUGGCGGUAGGCCUAACACAUGCAAGUCGAACGGCAGCACAGUAAGAGCUUGCUCUUACGGGUGGCGAGUGACGGACGGGUGAGGAAUACAUCGGAAUCUACUUUUUCGUGGGGGAUAACGUAGGGAAACUUACGCUAAUACCGCAUACGACCUACGGGUGAAAGCAGGGGAUCUUCGGACCUUUCGCGAUUGAAUGAGCCGAUGUCGGAUUAGCUAGUUGGCGGGGUAAAGGCCCACCAAGGCGACGAUCCGUAGCUGGUCUGAGAGGAUGAUCAGCCACACUGGAACUGAGACACGGUCCAGACUCCUACGGGAGGCAGCAGUGGGGAAUAUUGGACAAUGGGCGCAAGCCUGAUCCAGCCAUACCGCGUGGGUGAAGAAGGCCUUCGGGUUGUAAAGCCCUUUUGUUGGGAAAGAAAAGCAGCAGGUUAAUACCCCGCUGUUCUGACGGUACCCAAAGAAUAAGCACCGGCUAACUUCGUG
rnacentral:rRNA from 1 species